AGCUCCAAUAGCGUAUAUUAAAGUUGCUGCAGUUAAAAAGCUCGUAGUUGCAUUUCCGAGGCAAGGGAUUAGUCCGACCUUUGGUGGGUAUUUAAUCCUCUUGCCUCGUCCUUGAGUGGUGCUUCUUGGUAUUAAGUUAUCGAGGAGAUAGCCGCUCAUCGUUUACUGUGAGAAAAUUAGAGUGUUCAAAGCAGGCUUAUGCCGUUGAAUAUAUUAGCAUGGAAUAAUAAGAUAGGACCUCGGUACUAUUUGGUUGGUUUUAGAACCAAGGUAAUGAUGAAUAGGGACAGUUGGGGGUAUUCGUAUUCAGUUGUCAGAGGUGAAAUUCUUAGAUUUACGGAAGACGAACUACUGCGAAAGCAUUUACCAAGGAUGUUUUCA
rnacentral:rRNA from 1 species